rnacentral:rRNA from 1 species
ACGGGGGAUGCAAGCGUUAUCCGGAUUUAUUGGGUUUAAAGGGUGCGUAGGCGGUUUGAUAAGUCAGCGGUGAAAUAUUUCAGCUUAACUGAAAGGGUGCCGUUGAUACUGUCAGGCUUGAAUAUGGUUGCUGUGGGUGGAAUGUGUGGUGGAGGGGGGAAGUGGUGAGGGAGGGGGGGGGAGGGGGGGUGGGGGGGGGGGGGGGGAGGGGGGGUUUGAGGGUGGGGCGGGGAGGUGGGGGGAUGAAGGGG